rnacentral:lncRNA from 1 species
UUCCCCGUCUCUUUUCCCCUCCCCUUCCAACUCUUUCGUCUUCCCAACAAAACUCCCACCCAAUUUUUUUCAUUUCUCAUCUUAAUUUCUCUUUCCCCGUCCCUUUUCUCUGUUUCUUUUUCCCUUCAUCCUCCCCUUUAAUAAUUUUUUUCUAGUCUCCACUCACUAUUUCCAUUCCAACAUUCCUCAACCACCGGUGGUCGGAAGAAAGCUUGAGCUUUGUCGUUGUUCUAUCAUCGAAUUCAUCUUUGUCAAAAUAGCAGGAACAAAAAAAAGGCAAAUUUGCAAUGAUAUUGGGCGACCCCCACUUUCAAAACCAUGGAUUUCUGUAUUUUUUUAAUUUUUGGUUAUGGUCUAAUCAUGACCAUAGUGAUGUUGUGAAUUUGAUUUAGAAAUAAGAGAGAGAAAGAAUAAUGAAGAAAAAGAGAAAGGAGAAGAAAGAAGAGUAAAAAAGGAAGGGAGGAUAGUGAACGAAGAAGAAGGGGGGCGGUUAGGUACAGAUUAAUACUGGGUAUGUUUCAGGUAAUUUUUCUUUUUUGUAUUUGUAACUUUUUUUUGCUGAUUUUGUAUUUAAAAAUGGGACUCCCAAAUAACACAUGACAAGUAAUAAAUAGCUUAGCAUGAUGUGUUGUACAUGUUAGCGCAAUUGAUGUACAUGCUCUGGUGGCUGUGUUUAUUAGUACCCAUUUUGUCAAGUUGGAGUGUUCAAAUGAGAAAAACAUAAGUUAAUGUAUCGGCUUUGCAAACUGAUACAAAUUUAAGUGGCCACGAAGUCAUAAGUUGAAGUAAUCUCAUUAACAAGUACUAAUAUAUUUUGUUCUACUUGGAAGACGUUUCAAUAAGUUAAGUAGGCAUAAAACUAGAUGAUAUCAAUUAUGCCAAUUUUCAACAUUGAAUACUAUUCAUCUAAUAGUUAAGUCGUUAAUUUUAAAGUCAUUAAUUAGUUUGUACACUUAGGUGAUAAAUUCAUUGAAGAUACGUUUAAACUUACUUAAAAAUUUUGCAAUAAUUCCUUCUAAAUGCCUAUUCUAUCAUAACAUUUGGAUGUGAGAUUAAUUAAUCUAAUCAUUGUAAUUAAAUUUAAUACUUAUCUAUUUAUGUGUAGGUUUAAACUUCUUCGUAGAUUAUAUAAUAAAAAACCAAUUUAACCGAAACUUAUUAUUUUCAUACCAAGGCAACUAUUAUAAUCAUAUUCAAAAUAAGUUAUGCAUAUGGUAAUUAAAUUACAGGUUAAAGAAGAUUCUAAUAGAAACGUUAUAAACAUAAGAAUGUAUACCUGAAUCAGAAAAGUAAUUAACUCCCUCUUUUUGGAAGAAGAUAAAAUUCAAAUGAAGCAUAUAACCUCAGUUGGUUAGAACUUCUUGCUGAUAACGUAUUAGUAGCAAUAUAAGCCAAAAAAAUAUAGAUAAAACUUUUCUUCUAUCAAGUUGAAUUCAAGUCUAUCUUAUUGAUGUCUUUUGUAGAAUCAGAAACACCAUAUAUAUAUAGUGUACAAUUUACUUGAGAGUUACAAGAUAUUCAUGUAUAAUCCAAAAUGGUUCAUGGAUGAGUUGUUGGACAUUCACAAAUUCAAUGUAUUCAUAACAUAAAAAGGUUUUUUGCUAUCUCAUUAAUUUUCCCAUUUUAGGUAUGCGACUGCAAUGAGAAACAACAAAUAACAAUAAUUAACACAAGAUUACCCUGAAAUGGGAUGUUGCACCAGAUAUCAACAGCAGUAUAUUGAGAAUUUUGUUAAAAAGAAUAAAAGUAAAGCAGGAACUAUUCUCAGGUGCGGCACCAAAGAGCUCCUAUUUUGCUUUUCAAUGCACAAUUUCAGACCAUGCAAGAUUAUAGUUUGCAAGUAUGCUAUUUGAACACCAAGUAGCUUGGAAAAGGAAAUGUUAAAAAAAAACUCCAUGCAGCUAUGGGAAAAUAAGCAGCAACCUCCUUUAGUCUAAAAUAGCAAACACUUGACAAUUUCACCAUCUAGACCCUGUCAAUUGUAACAAGGAAAGCUAAGUCAAGAAGAGCGAUCAGAGACGAGGAAAGAGUAAAUAUACUAGAAAAAAUAUUCAUGGCAGCACAGUAAGAAUCAAAUAUUAGAAGCAGAGAAAAUCGAGAAAAAUCAGUUAGAAUCACCUUCAAGCAACAAGAAGCAUCUAGUAGGUAAAAACAUCAUAGGGGAAUAAUGCAUCAAGUAAAAGCAAACAGAUGCUAACUUAAAUUUAGAGAGACAUAAACAUCUUCUGAACAAAAAUGUUUAGCAAAGGGAAAUGCCGUUGGAUGUUGUGAGGAACUACAAGAAAGGGAUAGUGCCUACAUAAUACUGAGUUACUUACGAAUUAUUUGGGAUAAAAGAUAGUCUGAGAUAUCGAGCACAAGCAUAAACCCUGGAACCAAGGGGGUUAGUACAGAGUCCCAUCACCACACAAAAUAUCUUAUGAAUGAUCCCUAUGAGAGUACUAGAAGUCUGUUAAUCAGAUGACUUUGUAUUAUAGUUACUAAUAGCAUCUAUAGGUUUUCUUUAAAUGUUUGGUUCAAAAAUAUUCCCUUCCCUACCUCCUCAUAAGUCAUUUCUAGUCUCUAGAUCCAUCCUACUCUUACAUUAAAGGGUUAGAAGAAAAUAAAAUAAAAAAUCAAAAAACAGUUUCGCACUUUGAAGCUCUUAGAACCCCAUAGAAUUUUUUUAGCUUCUUAUCCUCUUUAUGAACUGCAUACAAGCUAUUCCUCCUGUGUUGCUAACUAUAAUGAGUCAGUGAAGAAAGAAACCCGCUACUUGGACUAAUUCUUGGCCAUCUCAGGCUUUUUAGUAAGUAGACUAUGUGUGUUGUGCAUUUUCAUGUUCAUAGAGGGAGACUUCCCAUGCCCAUUGUGAGGCGAUAUUGUCAUUUUGUUGUAUGAUAUGCACAUUUUGUAAGGAGAGGAGAUACAGCACCCUAAUAUAGUGAUAACAAAGGCAUCUUGCAGGAAGCAUGACAUUUGAGACAUUGAAAAAGGUACUUUAUCCAUGACAAGAAAGAAUAUAGAGCAUGCUAAGUCUCUCUGGCUUCCAAUCGUAAGAGCACUUUACUAUUGUA